rnacentral:rRNA from 1 species
UCAGUCGUGCCGGCGCGAAAUCAGCUUGACCGGUAGAAGAUCACAGGCCGUACGUAGGCUCAAAACCGCCACGACUUGUGCUUUUCUGCCGGCCUCGUGCACUUUCGUGUCGGCUGGUUAACACCAAUUUCGAUCGUCAUAAAAAGGCUGGAGGGAUGUAGGCUCCUUCGGGAGUGUUAUAACCUUUGGCGGAAUGUGGUGGUCGGGAUUGAGGUUCGCAACGAAUACCUUCAGGGCUGUUCCACCUGGCCUCUCAUCGGCAUCCUGGCGGUGACAGCUUGAAAGUGUUGUUAGGAUCAGCUUUCGAACAGGCUAGAGUGUGAGCAAAUUCGUUAAGGAUGUUGACGUAA